GACGAACGCUGGCGGCGUGCUUAACACAUGCAAGUCGAACGAUGAAGCCGGAGCUUGCUCCGGUGGAUUAGUGGCGAACGGGUGAGUAACACGUGAGCAAUCUGCCCUUGACUAUGGGAUAACUGCGGGAAACUGUAGCUAAUACCUGAUACGACACCUUGCGGCAGCCCAGGGUGUGGAAAGAAUUUCGGUCAAGGAUGAGCUCGCGGCCUAUCAGCUAGUUGGUGAGGUAAUGGCUCACCAAGGCGACGACGGGUAGCCGGACUGAGACGGUGAGCGGCAAGACGGGAACGGAGAAACGGUACGGACUACUAGGGGAGGCAGCAGUGGGGAGGAUUGCACAAUGUGCUAAAGCCUGAUGCAGCAACGCCGCGUGAGGGAUGAAGGCCUUCGGGUUGUAAACCUCUUUUAGCAGGGAAGAAGCGAAAGUGACGGUACCUGCAGAAAAAGCACCGGCUAACUACGUGCCAGCAGCCGCGGUAA
rnacentral:rRNA from 1 species